GAUCCACAAGAAUAAUAUUUAUUUGUAGUUCUCUUGCGAGUACAUGAAGCGUCUGAAAUAAUCACGAAAAACCAUGUAAAGCUCCUCUAUUGCGAACUACAUCACCAAUCUUCUUCAUUGUAUAGAUCCGUAACAGCGGUAGCAAAAUAGGUUCUAAAUUCCAACAAUUGUAAGACUACAAAGAUUAAACAGUUUCGGGUCCGUCUAAUAUGCUCGGAACAACUGAUCCUGCGUCCGUGUCACAACUAUCGAAGUAGUCAACUUCAGAACGUAAAUUUAUACGCGGUUCUCUUCCUGUUCUGCUGUUUCUUCCCUUCCAAGGCCUUGAAGUGGUACCUGACAUACACAGCUUGACAAAACAACCUACCUGCCUAAAGUAGACAAAUUGAAUGUGUGACUUUGUAAGAGAACACUUCAAAGGACAUUAAACGUCACUGGCGGAUUCGAAACAAUGAACAGAAUGUGAUACUACAAGCAAGAGGUAUCAGAAAGUAGACAAAACGCACAAUUCUAAGCUGAUGACGGACGUACCUGUUUCAUCGAAUGCCCAAGCUCUAUGCCGAUAGCGAUAUGCAUAUCGGCGAUCUCAGAGGAGGGAUACCAGCAAGUAAUAAUAGUUACAAGUAGUUCACGGGUUUCCACAUCACUCUAACAUGCAUGAAGGCUACGUCUGGAAUAGUCCCAAUGUUCACAUUCUUGCAUUACUUCAGCAUUUGCACGGGAAUGAAGGACAAUACUCCAGACAUAGACUCCAUGCAAUGUUAGAGCAGCAUGGAGACUCACAAACUCAUUGUAAGAUCAUGAUCUUCGUCAUAAACUCAUCAGCCUCCAGUGUAACGCUCCCUCGACCUCCGAGAAGGCAUUACGUAGCUUGAAAAGACGUUCGAAGAUAAUCGGAGAGGGACAACGAGAAAUACGAGGGGGAGGGGAGAAACCCAGUCCAACAAUUCCAGUGGGGUCAGAGACUGACCCACUGCUAGGGGGUUCAGCUGACCAACACGGCCCUAAUGGGCGCAUACGAUUUCAUCUGGGUUGGCUGCGCAUUGGCUUCAGGCAUGGAUUUGAAAAUUCCGAACCCCAGCAUUCACAUACUCAGAAGGACCCACUGAUCCCUGCAAACAAACCGGGACGAAUCUCAUUACGGCUUGAUUGCUAUCGUGGAAAGAAACCAUCAUCCAACCCACAACGCUACCAGCACGCAAUGAAUUCUGAAAAGACACAAAAGCGGCUAACAAAAACGUCCCAAAUUGCCGAAGCGAAGGCUCACAACAGAAGAAGAAAGCAAGAGAGCCGAUUUGCACAUCGGCACUCGCAACCAACAUUUACACUCUGAACAAAAAAACAUGGUGCCGGCCUGCUCUGGAAAAUUUUCGCCGCACUGGAGCAUCACCCUGCCACCACUCCACUAAGAUCACAGCAGGCACUCUUCCACUGUAGGAUUACACGAUGAAGCCAGAAUCGGGAUCCAGUAGAAUGAGUUGUGCUCAUCCUGCUUGAAACACACAGACACGACACACACACACACUCAUACACAUAUGCACGUACGCACGCACGCACACGCAAAAGCAAAACUAAACUCACUGCGCUAGGUCUCUGGAGAGACAGAGACAGAGACCCACGGAGUGAGUGGAAUGAAGUUGAAUCACACGCCUGGAUGGCAUUUAUAUAUACAUAUAUAUAUAUAUAUAUAUGAAACUUCCCACCCACACAUACACACACAAAUAUAUAAAUAUACACAAAUAGAUGUAUACACACAUG
rnacentral:lncRNA from 1 species